rfam:Pan troglodytes isolate Yerkes chimp pedigree #C0471 (Clint) chromosome 7, whole genome shotgun sequence.
UCCUUCAGUGUUGAAACAAUCUCUACUGAACCAGCUUCAAACAAGUUCACUGGAGUUUGUUUCAAUAUUGCAAGAA